UUAGUGGCGGACGGGUGAGUAACGCGUGGAUAACCUGCCGUAUACUGGGGGAUAACACUUAGAAAUAGGUGCUAAUACCGCAUAAGCGCACAGUCUCGCAUGAGACGGUGUGAAAAACUCCGGUGGUAUACGAUGGAUCCGCGUCUGAUUAGCUUGUUGGCGGGGUAACAGCCCACCAAGGCGACGAUCAGUAGCCGGCCUGAGAGGGUGAACGGCCACAUUGGUGAGACACGGCCCAAACUCCUACGGAAGGCAGCAG
rnacentral:rRNA from 1 species